rnacentral:rRNA from 1 species
GAUGAACGCUGGCGGCGUGCCUAAUACAUGCAAGUCGAGCGAACAGAUGAGGAGCUUGCUCCUCUGACGUUAGCGGCGGACGGGUGAGUAACACGUGGAUAACCUACCUAUAAGACUGGGAUAACUUCGGGAAACCGGAGCUACUACCGGCUAAUAUAUUGAACCGCAUGGUUCAAUAGUGAAAGACGGUUUUGCUGUCACUUAUAGAUGGAUCCGCGCCGCAUUAGCUAGUUGGUAAGGUAACGGCUUACCAAGGCAACGAUGCGUAGCCGACCUGAGAGGGUGAUCGGCCACACUGGAACUGAGACACGGUCCAGACUCCUACGGGAGGCAGCAGUAGGGAAUCUUCCGCAAUGGGCGAAAGCCUGACGGAGCAACGCCGCGUGAGUGAUGAAGGUCUUCGGAUCGUAAAACUCUGUUAUUAGGGAAGAACAAAUGUGUAAGUAACUAUGCACGUCUUGACGGUACCUAAUCAGAAAGCCACGGCUAACUACGUG